AGUGAACGCUGGCGGCAGGCCUAACACAUGCAAGUCGAACGGACGCACAGUGAGAUCUUGCUCCUACGGGUGGCGAGUGGCGGACGGGUGAGGAGUACAUCGGCUUCUUCUUUGUCGUGGGUGAUAACGUAGGGACACUUAUGCUAAUGCCGCAUACGACCUACGGGUGAAAUCAGGGGAUCUUCGGAGCUUGCCCGAUUGAAUGAGCCGAUGUCGGAUUGGCUAGUUGGCGGGGUAAGGGACCACCAAGGCGAGGAACCGUAGCUGGCCUGAGAGGUUGUUCGGCCCCACGGAACCGGGGACACGGUCCAGACCCCUACGGGGGCCAGCGGUGGGAAUUAUUGGACAUUGGGCGCAAGCCUGCUCCAGCCAGACCGCGUGGGUGAAGAAGGCCUUCGGGUUGUAAAGCCCUUUUGUUGGGAAAGAAAAGCGGCAGGUUAAUACCCCGCUGUUCUGACGGUACCCAAAGAAUAACCACCGCCAACUUUCUU
rnacentral:rRNA from 1 species